rnacentral:rRNA from 1 species
GAAUGCUGACAUAAGUAACGAUAAAGCGGGUGAAAAGCCCGCUCGCCGGAAGACCAAGGGUUCCUGUCCAACGUUAAUCGGGGCAGGGUGAGUCGACCCCUAAGGCGAGGCCGAAAGGCGUAGUCGAUGGGAAACGGGUUAAUAUUCCCGUACUUGGUGUUACUGCGAAGGGGGGACGGAGAAGGCUAUGUUGGCCGGGCGACGGUUGUCCCGGUUUAAGCGUGUAGGUGUGUGUUCCAGGUAAAUCCGGUUCACUUUAACACUGAGGCGUGACGACGAGGCACUACGGUGCUGAAGCAACAAAUGCCCUGCUUCCAGGAAAAGCCUCUAAGCAUCAGGUAACAUCAAAUCGUACCCCAAACCGACACAGGUGGUCAGGUAGAGAAUACCAAGGCGCUUGAGAGAACUCGGGUGAAGGAACUAGGCAAAAUGGUGCCGUAACUUCGGGAGAAGGCACGCUGACACGUAGGUGAAGUGAUUUACUCAUGGAGCUGAAGUCAGUCGAAGAUACCAGCUGGCUGCAACUGUUUAUUAAAAACACAGCACUGUGCAAACACGAAAGUGGACGUAUACGGUGUGACGCCUGCCCGGUGCCGGAAGGUUAAUUGAUGGGGUCAGCGCAAGCGAAGCUCCUGAUCGAAGCCCCGGUAAACGGCGGCCGUAACUAUAACGGUCCUAAGGUAGCGAAAUUCCUUGUCGGGUAAGUUCCGACCUGCACGAAUGGCGUAAUGAUGGCCAGGCUGUCUCCACCCGAGACUCAGUGAAAUUGAACUCGCUGUGAAGAUGCAGUGUACCCGCGGCAAGACGGAAAGACCCCGUGAACCUUUACUAUAGCUUGACACUGAACAUUGAGCCUUGAUGUGUAGGAUAGGUGGGAGGCUUUGAAGUGUGGACGCCAGUCUGCAUGGAGCCGACCUUGAAAUACCACCCUUUAAUGUUUGAUGUUCUAACGUGGGCCCGUUACCCGGGUUGCGGACAGUGUCUGGUGGGUAGUUUGACUGGGGCGGUCUCCUCCUAAAGAGUAACGGAGGAGCACGAAGGUUGGCUAAUCCUGGUCGGACAUCAGGAGGUUAGUGCAAUGGCAUAAGCCAGCUUGACUGCGAGCGUGACGGCGCGAGCAGGUGCGAAAGCAGGUCAUAGUGAUCCGGUGGUUCUGAAUGGAAGGGCCAUCGCUCAACGGAUAAAAGGUACUCCGGGGAUAACAGGCUGAUACCGCCCAAGAGUUCAUAUCGACGGCGGUGUUUGGCACCUCGAUGUCGGCUCAUCACAUCCUGGGGCUGAAGUAGGUCCCAAGGGUAUGGCUGUUCGCCAUUUAAAGUGGUACGCGAGCUGGGUUUAGAACGUCGUGAGACAGUUCGGUCCCUAUCUGCCGUGGGCGCUGGAGAACUGAGGGGGGCUGCUCCUAGUACGAGAGGACCGGAGUGGACGCAUCACUGGUGUUCGGGUUGUCAUGCCAAUGGCACUGCCCGGUAGCUAAAUGCGGAAGAGAUAAGUGCUGAAAGCAUCUAAGCACGAAACUUGCCCCGAGAUGA